rnacentral:tRNA from 1 species
GGUAGCUCAGUUGGAUAGAGCAAUGGCCUUCUAAGCCAUCGGUCGGGGGUUCGAAUCCCUCCC